GAGUUUGAUCCUGGCUCAGAACGAACGCUGGCGGCGUGCCUAACACAUGCAAGUCGAACGUGAUCCAGAGCUUGCUCUGGUGAAAGUGGCGCACGGGUGAGUAACGCGUGGAUAACCUACCCUGGUAUCCGGGUUAACAUUCCGAAAGGGGUGCUAAUACCGGAUAAGCCCACGGGCUCUUUGGAGCUUGCGGGAAAAGGUGGCCUCUAUUUAUAAGCUACUGUAUCAGGAUGGGUCCGCGUACCAUUAGCUAGUUGGCGGUGUAACGGACCACCAAGGCGACGAUGGUUAGCUGGUCUGAGAGGGUGAUCAGCCACACUGGAACUGAGACACGGUCCAGACUCCUACGGGAGGCAGCAGUGGGGAAUUUUGCGCAAUGGGGGAAACCCUGACGCAGCAACGCCGCGUGAGUGAUGAAGGCCAUUGGGUCGUAAAGCUCUGUCAGAGGGGAAGAAAUGAUAUAGUGCUAAUACCACUUUAUCUUGACGGUACCCUCAAAGGAAGCACCGGCUAACUCCGUGCCAGCAGCCGCGGUAAUAC
rnacentral:rRNA from 1 species